rnacentral:rRNA from 1 species
GGUCAAGUGAAGAAGCGCAUACGGUGGAUGCCUUGGCAGUCAGAGGCGAUGAAAGACGUGGUAGCCUGCGAAAAGCUUCGGGGAGUCGGCAAACAGACUUUGAUCCGGAGAUCUCUGAAUGGGGGAACCCAGCCAUCAUAAGAUGGUUAUCUUGUACUGAAUACAUAGGUGCAAGAGGCGAACCAGGGGAACUGAAACAUCUAAGUACCCUGAGGAAAAGAAAUCAACCGAGAUUCCCUUAGUAGUGGCGAGCGAACGGGGACUAGCCCUUAAGUGGCUUUGAGAUUAGCGGAACGCUCUGGAAAGUGCGGCCAUAGUGGGUGAUAGCCCUGUACGCGAAAAUCUCUUAGUCAUGAAAUCGAGUAGGACGGAGCACGAGAAACUUUGUCUGAAUAUGGGGGGACCAUCCUCCAAGGCUAAAUACUACUGACUGACCGAUAGUGAACUAGUACCGUGAGGGAAAGGCGAAAAGAACCCCGGAGAGGGGAGUGAAAUAGAUCCUGAAACCGUAUGCGUACAAGCAGUGGGAGCAGACUUUGUUCUGUGACUGCGUACCUUUUGUAUAAUGGGUCAGCGACUUAUUUUCAGUGGCGAGCUUAACCGAAUAGGGGAGGCGUAGCGAAAGCGAGUCUUAAUAGGGCGUCUAGUCGCUGGGAAUAGACCCGAAACCGGGCGAUCUAUCCAUGGGCAGGUUGAAGGUUAGGUAACACUGACUGGAGGACCGAACCGACUACCGUUGAAAAGUUAGCGGAUGACCUGUGGAUCGGAGUGAAAGGCUAAUCAAGCUCGGAGAUAGCUGGUUCUCCUCGAAAGCUAUUUAGGUAGCGCCUCAUGUAUCACUGUAGGGGGUAGAGCACUGUUUCGGCUAGGGGGUCAUCCCGACUUACCAAACCGAUGCAAACUCCGAAUACCUACAAGUGCCGAGCAUGGGAGACACACGGCGGGUGCUAACGUCCGUCGUGAAAAGGGAAACAACCCAGACCGUCAGCUAAGGUCCCAAAGUUAUGGUUAAGUGGGAAACGAUGUGGGAAGGCUUAGACAGCUAGGAGGUUGGCUUAGAAGCAGCCACCCUUUAAAGAAAGCGUAAUAGCUCACUAGUCGAGUCGGCCUGCGCGGAAGAUGUAACGGGGCUCAAACCAUACACCGAAGCUACGGGUAUCAUCUUAGGAUGAUGCGGUAGAGGAGCGUUCUGUAAGCCUGUGAAGGUGAGUUGAGAAGCUUGCUGGAGGUAUCAGAAGUGCGAAUGCUGACAUGAGUAACGACAAUGGGUGUGAAAAACACCCACGCCGAAAGACCAAGGUUUCCUGCGCAACGUUAAUCGACGCAGGGUUAGUCGGUCCCUAAGGCGAGGCUGAAAAGCGUAGUCGAUGGAAAACAGGUUAAUACUCCUGUACUUCUGGUUAUUGCGAUGGAGGGACGGAGAAGGCUAGGCCAGCUUGGCGUUGGUUGUCCAAGUUUAAGGUGGUAGGCUGAGAUCUUAGGUAAAUCCGGGAUCUUAAGGCCGAGAGCUGAUGACGAGUUACCCUUUGGGUGACGAAGUGGUUGAUGCCAUGCUUCCAAGAAAAGCUUCUAAGCUUCAGGUAACCAGGAACCGUACCCCAAACCGACACAGGUGGUUGGGUAGAGAAUACCAAGGCGCUUGAGAGAACUCGGGUGAAGGAACUAGGCAAAAUGGCACCGUAACUUCGGGAGAAGGUGCGCCGGUGAGGGUGAAGGACUUGCUCCGUAAGCUCAUGCCGGUCGAAGAUACCAGGCCGCUGCGACUGUUUAUUAAAAACACAGCACUCUGCAAACACGAAAGUGGACGUAUAGGGUGUGACGCCUGCCCGGUGCCGGAAGGUUAAUUGAUGGGGUUAGCUAACGCGAAGCUCUUGAUCGAAGCCCCGGUAAACGGCGGCCGUAACUAUAACGGUCCUAAGGUAGCGAAAUUCCUUGUCGGGUAAGUUCCGACCUGCACGAAUGGCGUAACGAUGGCGGCGCUGUCUCCACCCGAGACUCAGUGAAAUUGAAAUCGCUGUGAAGAUGCAGUGUAUCCGCGGCUAGACGGAAAGACCCCGUGAACCUUUACUAUAGCUUUGCACUGGACUUUGAAUUUGCUUGUGUAGGAUAGGUGGGAGGCUUUGAAGCGUGGACGCCAGUUCGCGUGGAGCCAUCCUUGAAAUACCACCCUGGCAACUUUGAGGUUCUAACUCAGGUCCGUUAUCCGGAUCGAGGACAGUGUAUGGUGGGUAGUUUGACUGGGGCGGUCUCCUCCUAAAGAGUAACGGAGGAGUACGAAGGUGCGCUCAGACCGGUCGGAAAUCGGUCGUAGAGUAUAAAGGCAAAAGCGCGCUUGACUGCGAGACAGACACGUCGAGCAGGUACGAAAGUAGGUCUUAGUGAUCCGGUGGUUCUGUAUGGAAGGGCCAUCGCUCAACGGAUAAAAGGUACUCCGGGGAUAACAGGCUGAUACCGCCCAAGAGUUCAUAUCGACGGCGGUGUUUGGCACCUCGAUGUCGGCUCAUCACAUCCUGGGGCUGAAGCCGGUCCCAAGGGUAUGGCUGUUCGCCAUUUAAAGUGGUACGCGAGCUGGGUUUAGAACGUCGUGAGACAGUUCGGUCCCUAUCUGCCGUGGACGUUUGAGAUUUGAGAGGGGCUGCUCCUAGUACGAGAGGACCGGAGUGGACGAACCUCUGGUGUUCCGGUUGUCACGCCAGUGGCAUUGCCGGGUAGCUAUGUUCGGGAAAGAUAACCGCUGAAAGCAUCUAAGCGGGAAACUUGCCUCAAGAUGAGAUCUCACUGGAACCUUGAGUUCCCUGAAGGGCCGUCGAAGACUACGACGUUGAUAGGUUGGGUGUGUAAGCGCUGUGAGGCGUUGAGCUAACCAAUACUAAUUGCCCGUGAGGCUUGACCAU